UACGAAGGUGGCAAGCGUUGUUCGGAUUUACUGGCGUACAGGGAGCGUAGGCGGUUGGGUAAGCCCUUCGUGAAAUCUCCGGGCCUAACCCGGAAAGUGCGGAGGGGACUGCUCGGCUAGAGGAUGGGAGAGGAGCGCGGAAUUCCCGGUGUAGCGGUGAAAUGCGUAGAGAUCGGGAGGAAGGCCGGUGGCGAAGGCGGCGCUCUGGAACAUUUCUGACGCUGAGGCUCGAAAGCGUGGGGAGCAACAGG
rnacentral:rRNA from 1 species